GGAAUAUGUUGAAUGUACCUGUUUUAUGCAAUGGCUGCACAGUUAUAUAUUUUUAUGUAUUUUAUUGUCCUUUGCUGCCAUGUGUUCAAUUAAGUUUUGCCUCUGUCCUUGGAGAUAAUUGGAUUACUUCCCAAUUAUCUCCAGGAUAGAAGACUCUGUGGAACUGGUUUUGGGCAGAAAAGCCAUGCUUCAUUUGGUCACAAAGGACUACGAUCUAUCUUUUGAACCACUGGACCAAUUUGUAUGAUUUUGACGUAUG
rnacentral:lncRNA from 1 species